ACUUCACAUGUUUUCACUUAUUUGUGGGAGCUAAAUAUUAAAAAAGUGAAGUAUGAAUGCUUGGUUAUUAUAGGACUGUGAAGUUUAAAAUGAUUCAGAAAAGGGGACAGUUUGUACAAUGUUCUAUCUCAUACUGGAAUCUCUUUUCUUGUAACCCCAAAUGAAUAUCUUAUUUGAUUAUGUCAAUGGAUUAUUUAUCCAUAACUCUCAAGGGGUUAUCCCUACAGGAGACUCACUCCCACAAGGGCCUGGAGAGCCAUGCUAAAGCACUGAAUUA
rnacentral:lncRNA from 1 species